rnacentral:rRNA from 1 species
CCUACGGGGAGCAGCAGUGGGGGAUAUUGGACAAUGGGGGAACCCUGAUACAGCGACGCCGCGUGAGUGGAGAAGUAUUUUGGUAUGUAAAGCUCUGUCAGCAGGGAAGAAAGAAAUGACGGUACCUGACCAAGAAGCCCCGGCUAACUACGUGCCAGAAGCAGGGGUAAUACGUAGGGGGCAAGCGUUAUCCGGAAUUACUGGGUGGAAAGGGAGGGUAGACGGUUAAGUAAGUGUGGAGUGAAAGGCCGGGGCACAACCCCGUGACUGCUCUGGAAACUAUUGAACUUGAGUGCAGGAGAGGGAAGCGGAAUUCCUAGUGUAGCGGUGAAAUGCGUAGAUAUUAGGAGGAACACCAGUGGCGAAGGCGGCUGACUGGACUGUAACUGACGUUGAGGCUCGAAAGCGUGGGGAGCAAACAGGAUUAGAUACCCUGGUAGUC